rnacentral:rRNA from 1 species
UGCGUAGGUGGUGAGUUAAGUCUGUCGUGAAAGCCCCGGGCUCAACCUGGGAAUGGCGAUGGAUACUGGCUCGCUAGAGUGCGGUAGAGGAGAGUGGAAUUCCCGGUGUAGCAGUGAAAUGCGUAGAGAUCGGGAGGAACAUCAGUUGCGAAGGCGGCUCUCUGGACCAGCACUGACACUGAGGCACGAAAGCGUGGGGAGCAAACA